rnacentral:rRNA from 1 species
UACAGAGGUCUCAAGCGUUGUUCGGAUUCAUUGGGCGUAAAGGGUGCGUAGGUGGCGCGCUAAGUCAGGUGUGAAAUCUCGGAGCUUAACUCCGAAACUGCAUUCGAUACUGCCGUGCUUGAGGACUGGAGAGGAGACUGGAAUUUACGGUGUAGCGGUGAAAUGCGUAGAUAUCGUGAGGAAGACCAGUGGCGAAGGCGGGUCUCUGGACAGUUCCUGACACUGAGACACGAAGGCCAGGGGAGCAAACGGG